AAAAAAUCAUUGACGUCAUAGAAUAUUCUUCUUCCUCUCAGGAGAAGACGGAAGCUGGAGUUGGACAUGGUUCAUAAAAGCCAGAAACACAAACCCGUGUGGACUCCGGGAGGGUGACUCAGGUCCUCCUUCCAUGUCUUGAGCACUGGCUCACCCAGGGGGUGAAAAAUUCCCGCCCCUGUUUGCACGCUUUCUUGCCUCCGUGUGUAAGCUCCUUGUACAACCCAGACCCAUCUUGUAUUUUGUGGCCCAGAAAACUGAACGAUUAUUUUGUUCCUCCGUAGUCCAAAGGGCAGAGUUGCGGAAGGCCGUCGGGGCUUGGUGAGCAGGGGCUGUAAUACAGUCUGUGGGCUCCUUACCCUGCAGAGGCUGUUUCAGCUCACACAGAGUCAUCCACACAAACCCACGGCUCCCAGUUGACAGUCAGUGGAAUGCUCGUCUCCUUAGCGUCCAGGGUGGGGAUUCUGCUGGAAUAAAGAGCUUCCUCAGUGACUCAUCUUUAGGUCCCACG
rnacentral:lncRNA from 1 species